CAGAGCACAAAUUAAGGUAUUUUUGAUUAAAUCCGAGAGCUCUUCCCAUAGACAGCAAGGGUCUUAUCACGAUCAAGGUCCAGAAACAUAGCAAGGACGUCGGUAAAGUAAUCCAUGUGACAUCAGGGGUUCAACUGCAAUUUUACGAAGUAAUUUAAUGACUUUAUUCAAAUUUGUAAAUGGCAUAUGCUGUUCUGUGUCAGCUGCGCCACACAUAAAUUUAUUUUGCACAAAAAAAGUAUUCUUGUAGCUUCAUAAAAUUACUGUUGAACCCCUGAUGACACUUGCUGUCUAUGGGAGGGUCAGAGAGCUCUCGGGAUGCAUCAAAAAUAUCUUAAUAUGUGUUCUGAAGAUGAUGAAGGUCUUACGGGUUUGGGAUGACAUGAGUGAGAAAUUAAUGACAGAAUUUUCAUUUUUGGGUGAACUAACACUUCAAGGUUUUUUAUUUUAUUUUUUAUCUGUCUUUGGAAUUGUGGUUCAUGUACAGCAUCAUUACCAUUUCAAUAACUGUUUACAUUUGUUUUUUAAUGUGAAGCAGUUUAUUCAGAGCUAGAAUCAAGGCAGUUUUGCAGUGUUGCUUCUGAUCUACGAUCAGCUUCCCCUGCUGUUCACAGUCCUUCUCAGUAGAAUACCAUUGGUACAGAAUCCUCUCAGAUUGGCUUCUUCUUAGAGUUUACACAAAUAGAAACAAAAAUACAUGUAUAUAUUCACAAUGUAUAUGUGAAUAUGUAUAUACUUUUUAUACAUAGAAACUCACAUUUCUCUCCUGUGCGUAAUUGUCUUGGCACAAACAUUGAUUUUAGAGCCAUAGGUCAUGAUCCUCUCAAGGCUAUAUCUUGUCUUCUUUCAAUAUUUAUUAGAAAAAAACCUCGGCUUAUUCAGUCACACAUUCAUCUAUUGAUAUUAAGAUGUUUGUUUUUUUUAAAGACUCACUGAUUUUGAUCUUUAAUAGACACACUCUCAUCGUGCCUUUCAUUGAAUAUUUAUGGCUCGAUUCAUUUUGGUUUGCAGGGUCCAAUGUAACAUGUUACUGAAUAGUUGUUGCUUUCAGCUUCAUUAUUUGAAAUGCACUAUCAAUCAAAUGAAGUUUGCAAUAUGUUUGCUAUGUCAUGAACAUAGCAAUGUGGACCAUUAGUUGUCCUUUUAAUGCAUUUUUUUAUUAAAAAUGUUUUAGCACAGAGUGGUUUCAGGUGAGUUCCUUCAAGUGGUGCUGUUUCAGCACCUAAAGUCUGUAUCUUGGCAACAACAAAUUGUCAAUAAAACAAAAUUAUGACUGAAA